rnacentral:rRNA from 1 species
GACGAACGCUGGCGGCGUGCUUAACACAUGCAAGUCGAACGGAAAGGCCCUGCUUUUGUGGGGUGCUCGAGUGGCGAACGGGUGAGUAACACGUGAGUAACCUGCCCUUGACUUUGGGAUAACUUCAGGAAACUGGGGCUAAUACCGGAUAGGAGCUCCUGCUGCAUGGUGGGGGUUGGAAAGUUUCGGCGGUUGGGGAUGGACUCGCGGCUUAUCAGCUUGUUGGUGGGGUAGUGGCUUACCAAGGCUUUGACGGGUAGCCGGCCUGAGAGGGUGACCGGCCAAAUUGGGACUGAGAUACGGCCCAGACUCCUACUGGAGGCAGCAGUGGGGAAUAUUGCACAAUGGGCGGAAGCCUGAUGCAGCAACGCCGCGUGCGGGAUGACGGCCUUCGGGUUGUAAACCGCUUUCGCCUGUGACGAAGCGUGAGUGACGGUAAUGGGUAAAGAAGCACCGGCUAACUACGUG